rnacentral:rRNA from 1 species
AGAGGGUGCGAGCGUUAAUCGGAUUUACUGGGCGUAAAGCGUGUGUAGGUGGCCGCGUAAGUCGGUUGUGAAAUCCCUGGGCUUAACCCGGGAAUUGCAGUCGAUACUGCGUGGCUCGAGUUCGGUAGAGGACGGCAGAAUUCCCGGUGUAGCGGUGAAAUGCGUAGAGAUCGGGAGGAAUACCGAUGGCGAAAGCAACCGUCUGGGCCUGAACUGACACUGAGACACGAAAGCGUGGGGAGCAAACAGGAUUAGAUACCCUGGUAGUCCACGCUGUAAACGAUGGGAACCUGACGUCGGUUUGCUCUGCGAAUCGGUGUCGAAGCUAACGCGCUAAGUUCCCCGCCUGGGGAGUACGGCCGCAAGGUUG